GAGGAAAAGAAACUAACAAGGAUUCCCCUAGUAACUGCGAGUGAAGCGGGAAAAGCUCAAAUUUAAAAUCUGGUGGUCUUUGAUCAUCCGAGUUGUAACCUAGAGAAGCGUUAUCCGCGUUGGACCGUGUAUAAGUCUCCUGGAAUGGAGCGUCAUAGAGGGUGAGAAUCCCGUCUUUGACACGGACUACCAGGGCUUUGUGAUGCGCUCUCGAAGAGUCGAGUUGUUUGGGAAUGCAGCUCUAAAUGGGUGGUAAGUUCCAUCUAAAGCUAAAUAUUGGCGAGAGACCGAUAGCGAACAAGUACCGUGAGGGAAAGAUGAAAAGAACUUUGGAAAGAGAGUUAAACAGUACGUGAAAUUGUUGAAAGGGAAACGCUUGAAGUCAGUCGCAUUGACUUGGGAUCAACCUUGCUUCUGCUUGGUGCACUUCCUGGUCGAUGGGUCAGCAUCAAUUUUGACCAGUGGAAAAAGUUCAAGGGAAUGUGGCAUCUCCGGAUGUGUUAUAGCCUUCGUUCGUAUACAUUGGUUGGGAUUGAGGAACUCAGUACGCCGCAAGGCCGGGUUUUUAACCACGUUCGUGCUUAGGAUGCUGGCAUAAUGGCUUUAAUCGACCCGUC
rnacentral:rRNA from 1 species